rnacentral:rRNA from 1 species
CGGCGUGCCUAAUACAUGCAAGUUGAGCGCUGAAGGUUGGUACUUGUACCGACUGGAUGAGCAGCGAACGGGUGAGUAACGCGUGGGGAAUCUGCCUUUGAGCGGGGGACAACAUUUGGAAACGAAUGCUAAUACCGCAUAAAAACUUUAAACACAAGUUUUAAGUUUGAAAGAUGCAAUUGCAUCACUCAAAGAUGAUCCCGCGUUGUAUUARCUAGUUGGUGAGGUAAAGGCUCACCAAGGCGAUGAUACAUAGCCGACCUGAGAGGGUGAUCGGCCACAUUGGGACUGARACACGGCCCAAACUCCUACGGGAGGCAGCAGUAGGGAAUCUUCGGCAAUGGACGAAAGUCUGACCGAGCAACGCCGCGUGAGUGAAGAAGGUUUUCGGAUCGUAAAACUCUGUUGGUAGAGAAGAACGUUGGUGAGAGUGGAAAGCUCAUCAAGUGACGGUAACUACCCAGAAAGGGACGGCUAACUACGUGCCAGCAGCCGCGGUAAUACGUA